GAUGGCAGUAUAACAGGAUGGGGAGCAAUACUUAUUGCAAAACCCAACAAAUAUUCAGAUAAAGAUAUUGAAAAAAUAGUAAGAUAUAAUAGUGGAAAUUAUAAAGAAAAAGGUAAUAUAAGUAGCAUAGAUUUAGAAUUACUUGCAGUAAAUUAUGCAUUAGAUUCUUUUGAAUUGUUUAUUAUUUCUAAAAAAGAAAUUACUUUAAGAACAGAUUGUGAAGCAAUUGUUAGUUUUGUUAAUAAAAUGAAAUUAGAAAAUAAAAGAAGUAAUAGAAGAAGAUGGUUAAACUUUAUUGAUAGAAUUACUAACACUGGAAUAGUAAUUAAUUUUGAGCAUAUUAAAGGUAAUGAUAAUCAGAUUGCAGAUAUUUUAAGUAGAAUAAUUAAAAAUAAAGAUUAUGACUAACUACUUAUUGCAGAUGCAAAGACCAAGAGGUCCCAGACCAGGAUUGCCAAUUGUUGGCAGUUCAAGUUCUCAGACAAAUAUACUACAGACUCAUGAUAAGUUAAGAUUUGGUAAUAUAGAAUUACUUUGUUUUCCUAAUAGCAAUAUUAGCUUUAAGACACUUUCUCAUAUUUCAGUUACAAAAGCAGAAAAAUGUAUUUUAGACAAUUUAUGGAUUUCUUAUAAUAAGAAUCCAAAAGAUCAAAAAUAUUUUUUAGCAUGUUUAAAUGCUCUUUCAGAAUUUUUUAGUCAAGAUCAUAAACAAUUUAAAUGUUAUGUUGUUUUAAAUGGAAGACUCCCAGGAAUAUACUAUACCUGGUUAGAAGUUUCAGAUUGUAUUAAGAAUUUUCCAAAUCCUCUUUACAAAGGAUUUUAUUCAAUUUCAGAAGCAUUAGAAGAAUGUAGAAAAUUUAUAGGUGCAAAUUAUUUUAUUGCUCCUUCUUUAAAAAAUGUUUCAGAUCAACCUCUAGAUUAUUCCUCAAGAUUUUGUGAUCAUUGUGAAUGUAUGACAAAGAACUUUAAGAUUUUAAAUAAAUCAAACCAGACUUUACAACAAGAGAAAUUAAUUUUACAAAAGAAAAUCUCUGAUUUAGAACAAGAGAUUAUUAAUUUAAAAAUUUCAAAUUCUAUUUCUCAGACAGAAGCAGGUACUAUAGAGCCCAAGAAUUCUAUAGCUAGUCCAGCUCAAACGGAAGCUGGUAAAGACUUAUCAAAUCCGUUUAUGGUUCUGGGCUUACCAAAAGCUCAACAGACUCAGAGGACUGUUGAUUCCUCUACUUCUCAGACUCAACAGGCUGAAAAUCCUGUUACAAAAGAACAAACACAGCAGACUGAUAAUUCUGCUACUAGACUUAUUAGCCCAAUUGAUCUUAAACAGAAAAGUCCAAUUAAUUUUUCAGGAUCAUUCCAAUCAGCCCAGGAUCCAGAACAGAUUUCUCAAUCAGAUAUUAGAAAGAUCAAAGAAAUGUUUGAUAAGAUUGAGGAGAUCCAGCAACAAGUUAAACAAAGUACUACGAAGAAAAAGAAAUUACAAAUUAAAAAGAAAAAUAAAGGUAAAAAGAAGAUUGAACAAGAAAGAGAUUUGGAUGACUCCAAAGACAAUAAUUCAGAAGAUAAUCCAGAAGAUUUUACUGAUGGAGGAGACUCCUUAGACAGUAUUGGCAGACACAAUUAUGCAACAAGAUAAAAAUUUUUCAGACAGGUGUAAAGAAUUGAUUUAGAUAUUUCAGACAUUUGGCAAAAAGACAAGAAGUUUCCAGUAAAGAAAGCCACUGAUUGAAGACUUUUGUCCAGAAAUCAAGAAUUAUUGUACGAAAAGAAGAAUCUUUACUGUUUACUUUUUGAAAAAUUUGUAAAAAUCUUACUAUUCUAUAAAGUAAGAUUUGAUAGGAUAGCUUUUACUGUUUUCUUUUUGACGUUUUGAAAAAAGCAAAGAUUCCUUGCUUUUAGAUAACGCCUAUCUUAUCUUUUCUCUCCUAUAUAAGGAGAUCAUUCUUUCAUUUGUAUACACAG
rnacentral:lncRNA from 1 species